CUCGAUUUCUCAGUCUCUCCCUCUAAUUCUCACUUUAUCUCACUCGAUUUCUCAGUCUCUCCCUCUAAUUCUCACUCAAUUUCUCACUGUAUCAUCUUGAUUUCUCAGUCUCUCAACUCGAUUUCGCACAAUCUCCCUGGAAUCUUCAAUAUAUAGCGAGGAUUAAGGUUCACGAGCUUAGAGAUAAGUCAAAGACUGAUCUUCAGAACUAAUUGAAGGAGUUCAAGGCUGAUAUAGCGAGGAUUAAGGUUCACCAGCUCUAUUUACGCUGCAUCUACUGAAGAACGGUGAGAUGGGCUUGAAGCUUAACCAUAUGAGGAGAUUACUAAACACUGAGAAAUUGAUCUGAAGUCUGAAACUCUCGUGGAGAUUACUUCACUACUGUAGGCUUCUACAUCAGUUCUAUGACUAUGAACUACAUGAUGUAUUCGAGAAGCCACUUUGUGAAAGGAAUGGAGCUGAUGGUGCUGCUGAUGUGUUACAGGCUGUACGGGAAAGCAACAGAGGACUCAGUGGCAUAUGCGCUUGUGAUGGGCUCAACCUGGUUCCUGGUGGGUUCUUGGUUGUUUGAUCAGUUCUUUUUCAAUCCCUCAGGAUUCGAGUGGCAGAAGAUAGUUGAUGACUAGGAUGAUUGGAACAAGUGGAUAAGCAGCAGAUUUUAGGCUUGUAGUGAGUAUAGUGCUUGUAAUGAUACAAGUUUUAUGUUGCAAGUGACUAUAGUGAGUAUAGUGCUAUCCGAACUCAAUUUGCAACAUAAAACUUGUAGUGAGUAUAGUGCUUCUUCUGAAGUCUGAAACUCUCGUGGUUUACAGUUUGUGAAGAACAGCUCUUAGGCUUCCCUUAAUCAAGCUGGUCAGUGGUGAUUUUAGUAGUUUUGUGUCUCGUGGCUGCGUUGGUUCUUCCCCGAUUUCUGCCAUCUUAUCUUCUAAUCAAAGAUGGAGAUCGUGAUCGUUGAGAAGAAACAUGGUUAAUACAGACUAAAAUGUGGGAGCCAAAAUUCAGAAGUGGCUUGGCCUAAUGAGUCUACGUCUGAAACUUUUAAGUACUGUGUUUUAUAUAUCUAUAAUGUUAUGUAGAACACUUUGUUUUCUAUUGUUGAAUGCACUUGACUUUUGAUACAAACCACAUAUUUGAGAAUGCAAGCACAAUUAAAGUUAAA